rnacentral:lncRNA from 1 species
GAGAAUAAAAUUUUAAUGGUAUCAAAAACAAAACUUUUUUUGGCCGAUUUAGUACUUGCUGGAAUAAAGUUGCAAAAUGUUACUCAGUAACUGACUUAGGUUCUAAUCAAGCCAGAAUGACACACAGUCUGUAUAUUAAGUAUAUACAAAUACAUCCAAUAUUAACAUGCACAGACAUAGAAACAAGGAUACUACAAAACCAAAAUCACCAUCUCUACUGAUGAAAUAAUGAACUGAAAACAAAACAUCCAUCCAGUAGUCCAGAACAUCUUAUUUUUGAAAAGGUUUCGAAUAUUGCUCUUUCCAAGAAUUCAAAUAAACUCCAGAUGGUUAAAUUUGACUGUUUUCUCCAUAUGAAAAAAAGAAAGCAGGCAUAUUCCCCUGGCUAUAGGAACACACCUUUUACUCAGUGAUAUCAAAUUAAAAGGUUUGACAUAAUUUCACUCUUCUCAGGUAAAAAGGGCUCUUCAUAUUCUAGUGGUUACGAAUAAAUCCCAUAAAGUUCUUAUGCAUUUGAGUGUCAUACCACCUACAGCAACAUAUGCUCAAGUACCUUUAACGAUACAGUCAUAUAGCAUGAGUUUAAUUUUCCUGAGAACUAAAUUAGAUCUACAAAAUAAACAGGCUAUGAAAAUGACCUGAGUUCAUAGGAAUCUCUAAGUUAGAGAUUACUUUAGCUUUGCUAAGAUUUCAUCAAAAGCCUUUUAUAGCAAGGGUUUCUUAGUGAGUCACAUACUUGGUCAUGGAGCCUUGGAAUUUUUUUUAAACAUUAAAAACAAGUGCUUUAUGUUGUUGUGCAAAUUCAACAAAAGGCCAAAGCAGCCAACAGUACUGAAGUGCUAAGUAAAACCUACAAGUAAGUCACAGAUUCUACUAUGUUAUGAAGAAAGGAGGAGGUGAGAGAUACAGCUGACCAACUUUGCUCCCAGUUUGACAAUGAUUAUUGAGAAGCUAAGCAAUUCCUUGCAAGAUAAGAAAAGACAGCACCUUAAGUGGAACCUAGUGGAAACCACUCAGAAGUGAGGGUUGUGUGCAACAGGGAUGGCUACUGAUCCCCUCUAGGUAACUCCUCUUUUGUGUGAGAAUCCAAGAACCUAGAAAUCAAGCAGGGAAACACUGGGUUCAUGGUCAUUUAUCCUAAUUAUGAAUUGCAACUUCUGUUAUUAUUGUUUGCAAACUACUAAAGAUCACAUGUGAAUUAAGUCAUUGAACAGCAUAUAAAAGAGUAUGGUCUGGCUUCAACCCAAGCUUUUCUUUUUUAGAGACAGGGUCUGGCUCUGUCACCCAGGCUGGAGUGCACUGGUGCGAUCAGAGCUCAUUGCAGCUUCGAACUUUUGGGCUCGGGUGAUCCUCCCGCCUCAGCAUCUCGAGUAGCUGGGACUACAGGUGUACACCACUACAAGUGGCUAAUUUUUGUCAUUUUUUGCAGAGAAGGGGGUCUCACUAUGUUGCCCAAGCUGGUCUUGAAAUCCUGGGCUCAAGUGAUCCUCCCACCUUGGCCUCCCAAAGUGUUAGGAUUACAGGCGUGAGCCACGGUGACCAGCCCAAUCCAAGCUUUUCUGAUUUGUGAUGUAAUCUAAUUCAAGGCACUUUAAAUGUUUUGGUGCCUUGGUGUAUUAACAUGUAACAUGAGAACAAGAUUUAUUUACUUACCUCAAGGAGCUAGUACAUGGGUUAUUGAAUGUACUCCUCUUAAACUUUGAGCCCCUCAGAUGAAAAGCACUGUGGAAACAAUUACAGCUGAAGAAAACCCUUCCAAUGCCUCAGAAUCCUGACUUACUGUGCCUUGUGUCUCAAUGGCACAUUUAGAAACAAUGUGCACU